AAGAAGUGCUUACCUGCGCUGGACCAUGUAUAAGUCUCCUGGAAUGGAGCGUCACAGAGGGUGAGAAUCCCGUCUUUGACAUGGACUGCCAGUGUGUUGUGGUGCGCUCUCAAAGAGUCGAGUUGUUUGGGAAUGCAGCUCUAAAUGGGUGGUAAACUCCAUCUAAAGCUAAAUAUUGGCGAGAGACCGAUAGCGAACAAGUACCGUGAGGGAAAGAUGAAAAGGACUUUGGAAAGAGAGUUAAACAGUAUGUGAAAUUGUUGAAAGGGAAACGCUUGAAGUCAGUUAUGUUGGCUAGGGAUCAGCCUAGUUUGCUGGGUGAAUUUCCUAGUCUGACAGGCCAACAUCAGUUCUGACUGCUGGAAAAGAGCAGAGGGAAUGUGGCACCUCUGGGUGUGUUAUAGCCUUUUGUCAUAUGUGGCAGUUGGGACUGAGGGAUGCAGCAUGCCGUGAGGCUUGGUUUCGACCAUGUUCAUGCUUAGGAUGUUGGCAUUUAAUGGCUUCAAUCGACCCGUCUUGAAACACGGACCAAGGAGUCUAACAUGCCUGCGAGUGUUUGGGGUGGAGAAAACCCUUGCGCACAAUGAAAGUGAAAGUUGAAGACCCCUGUCAUGGGGGAGCAUCCGACGCCCGGGACCUUGAGCUUUUUAACGGAUGGGAUCUUGCCGGUAGAAGCAUGGCAUUGUUUGGGGACCCCGAAAAGAU
rnacentral:rRNA from 1 species